UACGUAGGAGGCAAACGUUAUCCGGAUUUACUGGGCGUAAAGCGCGUGUAGGUGGUUCUGUAAGUAGGGCGUGAAAGCUCCCGGCUCAACUGGGAGAGGCCGUUCUAAACUGCAGAGCUAGAGGAUGGUAGAGGGAGGUGGAAUUCCAGGUGUAGCGGUGAAAUGCGUAGAUAUAGGAAGGAACAUCAGUGGCGAAGGCGACCACCUGGACUGAUACUGACACUGAGGUGCGAAAGCGUGGGGAGCAAACAGGAUUAGAUACCCGCGUAGU
rnacentral:rRNA from 1 species